GACGAACGCUGGCGGCGUGCUUAACACAUGCAAGUCGAACGGAAAGGCCUCUUUCGGGGGGUACUCGAGUGGCGAACGGGUGAGUAACACGUGAGUAACCUGCCCUUGACUUUGGGAUAACUUCAGGAAACUGGGGCUAAUACCGGAUAGGAGCUCCUGCUGCAUGGUGGGGGUUGGAAAGUUUCGGCGGUUGGGGAUGGACUCGCGGCUUAUCAGCUUGUUGGUGGGGUAGUGGCUUACCAAGGCUUUGACGGGUAGCCGGCCUGAGAGGGUGACCGGCCACAUUGGGACUGAGAUACGGCCCAGACUCCUACGGGAGGCAGCAGUGGGGAAUAUUGCACAAUGGGUGGAAGCCUGAUGCAGCAACGCCGUGUGCGGGAGGACGGCCUUCGGGUUGUAAACCGCUUUCGCUCAUGACGAAGCUUUGUGUGACGGUAGUGGGUAAAGAAGCACCGGCUAACUACGUG
rnacentral:rRNA from 1 species